rnacentral:rRNA from 1 species
GAUGAACGCUAGCUACAGGCUUAACACAUGCAAGUCGAGGGACCGGCGCACGGGUGAGUAACACGUAUCCACCCUGCCCUUUACUCGGGGAUAGCCUUUCGAAAGAAAGAUUAAUACCCGAUAUAAAGGAUGGGGAUGCGUUCGAUUAGGUUGUUGGUGAGGUAACGGCCCACCAAGCCUUCGAUGGAUAGGGGUUCUGAGAGGAAGGGCCCCCACAUUGGAACCGAGGCCCAGACCAAACUCCUACGGGAGGGAGCAGUGAGGAAUAUUGGGCAAUGGGGGGUAGCCGGAACCAGCCAAGUAGCGUGAAGGAUGAAGGCUUAUUGGUCGUAAACUUCUUUUAUAUAAGAAUAGGUAUUAUAUGAAUAAGGAACGGCUAACUCCGUGCCAGCAGCCGCGGUAAUAC